UUAUUAGUGAUUAUCUUAAAUUUUUAUUAAUUUCGAAAUUAUAAGUGUAAAUUAAAAAUUUUACUUAAGGAAAUCGAGAUAAUAAAAUACCUGCCAUUUUAUAUCUUUUUAUAAUUAGCAUACAAGUCAGAAUUUUAACAGUAAUAUUUAAAAUCUCAAUCUUUAUAUUAAAUAAUCUAGAUUUUAAGAUGAAUUGAUUAUAAUAUUACAAUUUAGAUGCAAAUUAUUGGAGAAGUAUGAGUAUAAGAAGUGAAAGAAAUAAUCCAGUGUUUUAUGCAUCCAAUUAUGGUGACUAUAACCCAAGAUGGUAUAAAAAUGCUCCUAUAGGAUAUGCAAAUGCACUUAGUGAUAAAAAUGCUGAAGAGAAAAUUCAAGAUCUAAUAAAGUCUAUGAAAAAAGGAUUCCAAAAAGUCACUUCAAUGCUGGAAGAACAUUCUUAAUAGUAGUAAAGAAGCAGUUACGACAUGUUUGUUUAUAAAAAUACAAUAUUUUUAUUAAAAUAUGCAUAUGAUAUAUUUAAAAUUACA